rnacentral:rRNA from 1 species
UACAGAGGGUGCAAGCGUUGUUCGGAUUUACUGGGCGUAAAGCGCGUGUAGGCGGUGGCGUAAGUCGGAUGUGAAAUCCCUCGGCUUAACCGAGGACGUGCACCCGAUACUGUGCCACUUGAGUACCGGAGGGGAUGGCGGAAUUCCCGGUGUAGAGGUGAAAUUCGUAGAUAUCGGGAGGAACACCUGUGGCGAAGGCGGCCAUCUGGACGGUAACUGACGCUGAGACGCGAAAGCGUGGGGAGCAAACAGG